GACGAACGCUGGCGGCGUGCUUAACACAUGCAAGUCGAACGGAAAGGCCCUGCUUUUGUGGGGUGCUCGAGUGGCGAACGGGUGAGUAACACGUGAGUAACCUGCCCUUGACUUUGGGAUAACUUCAGGAAACUGGGGCUAAUACCGGAUAGGAGCUCCUGCUGCAUGGUGGGGGUUGGAAAGUUUCGGCGGUUGGGGAUGGACGAGCGGCUUAUCAGCUUGUUGGUGGGGUAGUGGCUUACCAAGGCUUUGACGGGUAGCCGGCCUGAGAGGGUGACCGGCCACAUUGGGACUGAGAUACGGCCCAGACUCCUACGGGAGGCAGCAGUGGGGAAUAUUGCCCAAUGGGCGGAAGCCUGAUGCAGCAACGCCGCGUGCGGGAUGACGGCCUUCGGGUUGUAAACCGCUUUCGCCUGUGACGAAGCGUGAGUGACGGUAAUGGGUAAAGAAGCACCGGCUAACUACGUG
rnacentral:rRNA from 1 species